GAUGAACGCUGGCGGCGUGCCUAAUACAUGCAAGUCGAGCGAACAGACGAGGAGCUUGCUCCUCUGACGUUAGCGGCGGACGGGUGAGUAACACGUGGAUAACCUACCUAUAAGACUGGGAUAACUUCGGGAAACCGGCGCUAAUACCGGAUAAUCUAUUGAACCGCAUGGUUCAAUAGUGAAAGACGGUUUUGCUGUCACUUCUAGAUGGAUCCGCGCCGCAUUAGCUAGUUGGUAAGGUAACGGCUUAUCAAGGCAACUAUGCGUAGCCGACCUGAGAGAGUGGUCGGCCACACUGGAACUUAGACACGGUCCAGACUCCUACGGGAGGCAGCAGUAGGGUAUCUUCCGCAAUGGGCGAAAGCUUGGCGGAGCAACGCCGCGUGAGUGAUGAAGGUCUUCGGAUCGUAAAACUCUGUUAUUAGGGGAGAACAAAUUUGUAAGUAACUAUGCACUUCUUGACGGUACCUAGUCAGAAAGCCACGGCUAACUACGUG
rnacentral:rRNA from 1 species